rnacentral:pre_miRNA from 1 species
AUUGGAAUUGCUGGAUGAUAAGGUAACUCUGUUUGACUUUCUGAGGAGCUACCAAACUUUUUUCCAAAAAGGCUAUACCAUUUUACAUUCCCACCAGCAAU